UGAUCGAGCGACGCCGCGUGCGGGACGAAGUAGCUUUGCUAUGUAACCGCUUUUGCGUGGGAGUAAUUUGAACGUACCACGAGAAUAAGGGUUGCUAACCUCGUGCCAGCAGCAGCGGUAAUACGAGGACCCCAAGCGUUAUCCGGAUUUACUGGGCGUAAAGGGCAAGUAGCCGGUUGUGCUAGUCUGAUGUUAAAUCUUUGGGCCCAACCCAAAGGCCGCAUCGGAAACGGCACGACUCGAGCGGGUGAGAGGCACACGGAACGUGCAGUGUAGGGGUGAAAUCCAUUGAUAUUGCACGGAACACCAAAAGCGAAGGCAGUGUGCUAGCGCUCUGCUGACGGUCAAUUGCGAAAGCGUGGGCAUAAAAAAGGAUUAGAUACCCUUGUAUUCCACGCCCUAAACGAUGCAGACUGGCUAUUGGGAGCAUCGACCCUCCCAGUGGCGAAGCUAACGCGUUAAGUCUGCCGCCUGGGUAGUACGAUCGCAAGGUUA
rnacentral:rRNA from 1 species